rnacentral:rRNA from 2 species
UGAGGAACCCGAAAGAUCGAAUGGGAAGAUUCAGCGUCAGCGGCGCUAACUCGGCGGAUCGUGCGUCGUCUCGGACUUCGGUCUUGGGACGCGUAAUCUUUCCAUGCCUUGUUUGGCGUCGUCGUCGUGCACUUCUCCCCUAGUAGAACGUCGCGACCCGUUGGGUGUCGGUCUACGGUCCGAGCGGUAGACUGUCGCGUCGCUUCGGCGCACGCGGCAGACCCUCGGUCACCCGGCCGGCUGCCCGGCGGUCGAACUUAUAAGGUAUCUUGCCGCAAUUAUCGAACUGCGUCGGGCCCGUCGCAAGCGAGGCCAGUGUCUUACGGAGUUACGGACCCGGUGCCGUACCCGUGGCUGGCCAGCUGUUGGCAGGCGGAGUCCUUUGACGGGCAAUACACAAUGAUACCGGUCUGCGACGCUACUGCUUUGGGUACUCUCAGGACCCGUCUUGAAACACGGACCAAGGAGUCUAACAUGUGCGCGAGUCAUUGGGACUCUAAAACCUAAAGGCGCAAUGAAAGUGAAGGUCGUACUAAGGUCGACCGAGGGAGGAUGGGCCGCGUUUACGCGCGGCUCCGCACUCCCGGGGCGUCUCGUUCUCAUUGCGAGAAGAGGCGCACCCAGAGCGUACACGUUGGGACCCGAAAGAUGGUGAACUAUGCCUGGUCAGGACGAAGUCAGGGGAAACCCUGAUGGAGGUCCGUAGCGAUUCUGACGUGCAAAUCGAUCGUCGGAACUGGGUAUAGG